rnacentral:lncRNA from 12 species
GUUACCAAGCAACCUCCUUGUCACCAGGGAUAAUGACCUGACUACUUCCAGGGGACAUGACACAAUGUGGGAUCCUGGGCAGAGGGACAUCACCAGCAAGGGAUUCACGCCAAUCUGAGGCUGAACCUCAACUGUGCAGUUGCCCAGUGCCAGAAAGGAAUGGGCAGACAUCACCACGGCCCAAGCCAGAGUUGAAGAAGUGCCGCAGGAGGAACCAAUGGGCUCAAGGUUAGAGGAGGACACAGUCACUCACAGCUGGCAUCAUGAAAGAAGAGGCAAUUUACCAGACAGAGUUCUGAUGAAGUGACUGACAAAGUGGAUCCCAAAGAAGCCGAGCCAUGAACAUCCCUCAUAAAUCAUAAUUUAAGGACAACUGCAGAUGGCCCUGCUGUGUACAAAUAACUGGUCUGGUACAACUGGCCCAGAAGAAACACCCCACUGCCCAGCCAGGGGACAAGAGGUGGAUGGAGACAAUCAGCUAAUAAACAGUGACCCAACUUGAUUGCGAAUGGUCUCUGAUCGCAAUGCCAGUGAGGAGUUUGGGAAGACCACAGCACACAGACAAGAGAAAUCGCUGCCGUGUGUCAGUGGACAAAGAAGCAGCAGGACGCCCGGCACUCCAGUCAUCAAACGUGUUCCCAAGAUGCCCACGGUUACGCUAAAGACAACUUUAUAUGGAGCUGAAGGAACCAGGACUGGGCUCACCGCUUGGGGCACGGCGGGACGUCGGCUCGGUCGAGGCUGCACAGAAGCACGGGGAUGCCCAGAGGGCACCGGAAGCUCCGGCCUCCUCCCGGCCUCCUCCCCGCCGCCCGCCGCCCGCCGCCACAGGCGCCACAGCUCUCCAGGCCGCUCGCUUCCGCUCUCGGAGAUCAGGGAAGGCGAGGCCGUCAUCGGGCGGGGCCUCUGCGGGCUGUGCCAACAGUCCUGCACCGCGUGGUCGCGGGACGUGAAGGAGGCCGAAGGGCCAGUCUUGGAGAGUCGCGGCAGGGCCGCCCCGGCCGUCAGCACCUCCCGCGGGGGCGGACAGGAACCCGACGGCCCGAGACGGCUCCGCCCCGGCACCACAGCCGGCGCGGCUCGCGGCUGUGCGGGCGCCUGCUCGUUACCAGGCCCCGCACUGCUGCCGGAAGCCGGAAGCCGGAAGCCGGAAGCCGGAAGCCGGGGCCACUUCCGGGCCGCGCCAGCCCUUCCCGCGGCCCCUUCGCCUCCACAGCCCGCCCCCUGUCCUCUCCGCCCGCCUGUCGCGCGUGCCCGGCCUCGGGGCAUCGAGGCCGCCGCCUCUGCGGCACGGGCAGGAGCGCCGACUCGCCACCCGGCGUCUCUCGGGCCGGUCCGGGGUCCGGGGUCUAAUCAGAGAGCUCGGAUCUCAGGGCGAUGAGCCCCCAGGGCCUUCGGGGCCGGCAGGGAGAGCCCGCCUCGGCACGCAGGCCCGCGAGCCCCCCGCGCAGGCCGGGCCCUGUCCCACCCGGCCCCACCCCUCGCCUGACCCCAGUUCCUCCAGCGGACUCCCCUCAGUGAGGCCGUGUUUGCCUUCCGAGGCCGAACCCACACUUUUCAGGUGAUUUCCAGGAUGAAAGCAGCCACCCUCCUCUUGGACGCUGGCCCCUGCUGCUGGUGCCCGCUGAUCGGCGUCUUGCCCCCCUGCAGGCGGGCGCGGGGUGCGGGCUGCGGGGCUGCGGGGCUGCGGGGCUGCGGGGCUGCGGGGCUGCGGGGCUGCGGGGCUGCGGGGCUGCGGAGCGUGACCGAGCUCCGCCCAUGCGCCCCGCGCUGCCCCAAGGCCUCCGAGCACAUCCCCGUGGGGGCGCCCGGGGGCUCAGCGGCUGAGCGGCUGCCUUCGGCUCAGGGCACGGUCCUGGGUCCUGGGGUCCUUGGGGUCGAGGCCCGCAUCGGGCUCCCUGUAUGGAGCCUGCGUCUCCCUCCGCCUAUGUCUCUGCCUCUCUGUGUCUCUCAUGAAUAAAAAAAAAAAAUCUUAAAAAAAAAUUCCUCA